rnacentral:misc_RNA from 1 species
GGAAUAUUCAAUUUGAAAAUUGGGAUGUGGACGGUGGACCGUUCUACUAAAUAACAGCCGUUCUACGUAAUUAAUAAGCUCCAAAUAAAACCUGCCUGGGAUAACAACGAAUCAGAAUUCAUAGCCAAAACCACCUCCAACCUCUUCGCACAUCUUACUCCCAUAGAUUCAGCUCUCAGAUUACAGAUUUACGUUUCGGAUUCUUUCCUCUAAGGCUCCGAUCUUCCGCCAGAUCUCCGCC